UACGUAGGGUGCAAGCGUUGUCCGGAAUUAUUGGGCGUAAAGAGCUCGUAGGCGGUUUGUCACGUCGGAUGUGAAACCCUGGAGGCUCAACCUCAGGCCUGCAUUCGAUACGGGCAGACUAGAAUUCGGCAGGGGAGACUGGAAUUCCUGGUGUAGCGGUGAAAUGCGCAGAUAUCAGGAGGACACCGGUGGCGAAGGCGGGUCUCUGGGCCGAUAUUGACGCUGGAGGAGCGAAAG
rnacentral:rRNA from 1 species